rnacentral:lncRNA from 1 species
CAGGUCCUCAUCUCUCUGAUCCUGUUUCCCAUCGUCUCUUUACCCUUGAUGAAGAUAAAAUUCCUGGCUAGACACCUUGCUUAAAGAAAUUAAAUAAAGGGACAAAAUCAAAGAGUUGGAGUAAGAAGUGCACAUUUGGUUUUGCAGCUAAGCUCCAGAUAUGGUUGCCAGAAUAUGACCUUGAGGAAAUGGAGUAUUAUAUACAAAUGUGAAUGAAAACCAAAAGGCAGAAGAAUACACACAGUAUGCUACGUUUCACACAAAAUUAAACACCAUUCCAUAAUUUGACAAUAUAUUUACCUUAUUGAAUAUGUAGACAAGUUACAGUGAAAAGUAAAGGAAUUACAAUUA